CAAACCAUAUGAGACGCGCUCAUUGAGAAAGAAGGAAAAUGGCGCUAUCCUGUGCGAUAUCUAAUGAAGUACCAGAGCAUCCAGUAAUAUCUCCAGUCUCUGGAUCAAUAUUUGAGAGACGUCUUAUAGAAAAAUAUGUGACUGAAAAUGGAGUAGAUCCUAUUAAUGGCAAAGAACUUGCUAUUGAGCAACUUAUUGAUAUUAAAGCUACUCCAAUUGUCAAACCCAAACCACCAAGUGCAACUUCUAUCCCAGCAAUAUUAAAAAUUAUGCAGGAUGAAUGGGACGCUGUUAUGCUACAUUCAUUUACGUUGCGACAGCAACUCCAGACUGCGAGACAGGAGUUAUCUCAUGCCUUGUAUCAACACGAUGCAGCUUGCCGUGUAAUUGCUAGAUUGACUAAGGAAGUCACUGCCGCUAGAGAGGCUUUGGCCACUCUCAAGCCACAAGCUGGAAUUGUUCAGGCUACUGCAAUCCCACAACCUGCUGUGGCAGUAGAAGCUGGUGGUACAGCAACUCAACCAAUGGAACAAGCUGGCAUCACUGAAGAUGUAGUACAGAAACUUCAAGAACGAGCGACCGUUCUUACUCAAGAACGAAAACGACGUGGACGCUCAGUGCCGGAAGAUCUUAUGUCUCAGGACAAUAUUCGAUCAUUCCAGACACUUGCAUCACAUCCUGGACUUCAUUCUGCUAGUGUGCCUGGAAUUCUGGCGCUUGAUAUUCACAGUACCGAUACCAGCAAAAUUUUAACAGGCGGUGCCGACAAAAAUGCUACUGUCUUUAACAAAGAUACCGAACAAGUAGUAGCAAUUCUCAAAGGUCACACAAAGAAAGUUACACGAGUUAUUUAUCAUCCGGAAGAGGACAUAGUAAUGACUGCAUCACCCGACACUACAAUUCGUGUGUGGAACGUUAGUACCAGUCAAACAACGUUGUUAUUGAAAGCUCAUGACGCACCUGUGACUGGACUGUCUCUGCAUCCAACCGGUGAUUAUCUGCUAAGCUCCUCUCUGGAUCAGCAUUGGGCCUUUUCGGACAUACGUACUGGCAGAUUAUUGACUAAAAUUGCGGGACAAGCAGGACAAUCAUUGACAACAGCACAAUUUCAUCCUGAUGGGUUGAUUUUUGGCACUGGUACAGCAGAUUCUCAGGUGAAGAUUUGGGAUUUAAAAGAACAAUCUAAUGUUGCAAAUUUUCCGGGACACACCGGUCCGAUUACAGCAAUUAGUUUUUCCGAGAAUGGAUAUUAUUUGGCAACAGCUGCGGAAGAUUCAUGCAUCAAGCUUUGGGAUUUACGAAAAUUGAAGAACUUUAAGACGUUACAAUUGGAAGAAUCUUAUGAAGUAAAGGAUAUUUGCUUUGAUCAAAGUGGAACUUAUUUGGCUGUUGCUGGAACGGAUGUCAGAGUAUAUCUCUGUAAGCAAUGGCAAGAAUUAAAGGUCCUGAAUGAUCAUACGGCGGCGGCCACUGGAGUUCGUUUUGGAAAACAUGCACAAUACAUCGCGUCCACCAGCAUGGAUCGGACAUUAAAGCUUUACGGAUUAUCAUAAGUCGUCACUGGUCGCCAGCCUCUUUAUCCUUCCCAGAGGCAAGGUAUCGUAGAUUUUCGGGUGUCCACUACUCGGGAUCCGCCGGGAUGUCUCGCAGCUCGCAACCGUCGGAUCGGGAUAUGCCGCUGUAUUGAGGUUAUGUGCUCCUACCGAUGCGCACGACGCUCACUGUUAUUCUUUAUUUUAUCACUAAUUAUAGGUUUCUCUGUUUCAGGUGCCGCCGACUCUCAGGAUCGUCUCCAGGAUCGCGUACACUCCGCGGAAACUUCGUCAGGUCCAGGAAGUCCAGGAUCUCCGGAACAGUCACCAAGGAUCAACAGAUCACGCAACGCGCGAGAACGCGGUGGCUCGCUCCUCGGCUACUUCUGCCUAGUUUCCGCCUCGCCCUGCGCUACUUCUUUCGAUCUCUCAGCCUAACGGUGAGUAUGUUUUUGCCGUCCUUGGCCCUUGCUUCUGUUUUGGUCGCCUUGUACUUCUUCGGUCCCUUGGAGUCCUCCUAGUUCGCCGUGAGUGGGAAAGCCGCCUGGUUGUCCCUUGGGAUCGGUCUCAAGGUUAGGUUAGACGCGGGGCAAAGAGAUAGGUAGGAGGGAGAACGUACGAGCGAGGCAAGCACGGCGAUAGAAGCGCCGAAGAGACGGGUGAGAAUUCGUAGAAGCAGGACGGGUGUGUAAGUUAGUUCGAGAGGUAUACGUUUGGAACAAAAAGAAUAGAGAGGGAUGAGCGAGACGAGUGAUAUAGGUGUAGAAGGGAAAAGAGAAGAAAAUAAGAAAAGAGGAAGGCCGUCGAAUAUAGAGAGGUUAGGAAGAGAGAGAACGGAUAGCAUGGGAAGCAUAGAGAAUUUGUUUAAUAGGGGAAAAAGGAAGGAAAGGGAACAAAAAGAGGGAGUAGAGGGAGAGGAGCAGGCAGAAGAGGAAGAUUUAUGUAAGAGGAGUAGGAUAGGAAAAAGUCCACCAAAAGGGGGGCAGGAAUGCAAUGGAGAUUGGGAUAAAGCGUUAGGGGUAUUAGGGAAUUUUUAAGAAAAGAUAUAGUUAAAGAAAAAAGAUAGAGAUGAAAGUAGACGAGGGGAGGGAAGAAAUGAGUAAACAAUGGAAAGAAAUGAUAAGGAAGUGGGAGGAAGAAAGGAAGGAAAUGAGAAAGAGAUUAGAGAAUCUAGAAAGGAGGUUAGAAGGAUUAGAGAAGAAAGAGGAAACAAGGAAGGAAGGGAGGGGAGAAAGGAGGUCGAGGGAAACAGGAAUAGAGGAGGAAGUAGCAGUUAACAAGGAGAUUAAGGGAAAUGGAAGUAAAAUGGGAUAAAAGAGAAAGAGCGGAGAGGAGAAAUUUAGUAAUUAAGGGUAUCUCAGAUUGAAAGAAUGGAAGGAAGAAGAGGCAGUAAAAGAGUUAUGGAAGGUGAUGAAUGUUAAAGAAAAAGUAAAAGAGAUUAAGAAGAUAGGAGGUAUAGAAAGAGGGGAGAGAGCUAGUUAAGAUUAAGAAAUUAGAAGGAAAAAAGAAAGUAAUGUAAGCAAAAAAGAGUUUAAGGGGACGGAGAGAGAGAGAGUAGUGGAUGAUUUGACGAGGAUAGAAAGAAGGGCGAGAUGGAAGAUAGAGAGGGAA
rnacentral:misc_RNA from 1 species